rnacentral:rRNA from 1 species
GCCUGUUUAUCAAAAACAUCGCCUUUUGAAUGCAUAAAAGGUCUGGUCUGCCCACUGAAAGUUUAAAGGGCCGCGGUAUAUUGACUGUGCAAAGGUAGCAUAAUCAUUAGUCUUUUAAUUAAAGGCUGGAAUGAAUGGUUGGACGAAGUGUAAGCUGUCUCUUUGAAAUUUUAUUGAAUUUUACUUUUAAGUGAAAAGGCUUAAAUUAUAUUAAAAGACGAGAAGACCCUAUAGAGCUUGAUAAAUUAUUGUAGUUAUAAUUAGAAGGAAGUUUAAUAGAAUAUAAUAGUUUAUUUUGUUGGGGUGACAUGAAAAUAUAAAAACUUUUUAAGUAAAAUACAUAGAUUAAUGAAUACUAGAUCCAAAAUUUUUGAUUUUAAGAUUAAGUUACCUUAGGGAUAACAGCGUAAUCUUUUUUGAGAGUUCUAAUCGACAAAAAGGGUUGCGACCUCGAUGUUGGACUAAGAGAAAUUUUGGGUGUAGCCGUUUAAAAAUUAAGUCUGUUCGACUUUUGAAAUCUUACAUG